AUCGACCCCCUCGGUGUCGUAGCCAACGCGUUAAGUGUUCCGCCUGGGGAGUACGCACGCAAGUGUGAAACUCAAAGGAAUUGACGGGGGCCCGCACAAGCGGUGGAGUAUGUGGUUUAAUUCGAUGCAACGCGAAGAACCUUACCAGGGUUUGACAUCCUGCGAAUCUCCUGGAAACGGGAGAGUGCCUUCGGGAACGCAGUGACAGGUGGUGCAUGGCUGUCGUCAGCUCGUGUCGUGAGAUGUUGGGUUAAGUCCCGCAACGAGCGCAACCCACGUCUUUAGUUGCCAGCAUUCAGUUGGGCACUCUAGAGAGACCGCCGGUGAUAAACCGGAGGAAGGUGUGGAUGACGUCAAGUCAUCAUGCCCCUUACAUCCUGGGCUACACACGUACUACAAUGCUACGGACAAAGGGCAGCAAACUCGCGAGAGCUAGCAAAUCCCAUAAACCGUGGCUCAGUUCAGAUCGUAGGCUGCAACUCGCCUACGUGAAGGAGGAAUCGCUAGUAAUCGCAGGUCAGCAUACUGCGGUGAAUACGUUCCCGGGCCUUGUACACACCGCCCGUCACACCAUGGAAGUUGGCCACGCCCGAAGCCGUUACUCCAACCCUUGUGGAGGAGGACGUCGAAGGUGGGGCUGAUGACUGGGGUGAAGUCGUAACAAGGUAACCAAGGGCGAA
rnacentral:rRNA from 1 species